rnacentral:rRNA from 1 species
UUCUGUAAGCCGUUGAAGGUGGCCUGUGAGGGUUGCUGGAGGUAUCAGAAGUGCGAAUGCUGACAUAAGUAACGAUAAAGCGGGUGAAAAGCCCGCUCGCCGGAAGACCAAGGGUUCCUGUCCAACGUUAAUCGGGGCAGGGUGAGUCGACCCCUAAGGCGAGGCUGAAAAGCGUAGUCGAUGGGAAACAGGUUAAUAUUCCUGUACUUGGUGUUACUGCGAAGGGGGGACGGAGAAGGCUAGGCUAGCCGGGCGACGGUUGUCCCGGUUUAAGCGUGUAGGGGGUGUGACCUGGUAAAUCCGGUUGCAUACUAACCCUGAGGCGUGAUGACGAUGCACUACGGUGCAGAAGUAGUUGAUGCCCUGCUUCCAGGAAAAUCCUCUAAGCUCCAGGUAACAUUAAAUCGUACCCCAAACCGACACAGGUGGUCAGGUAGAGAAUACCAAGGCGCUUGAGAGAACUCGGGUGAAGGAACUAGGCAAAAUGGUGCCGUAACUUCGGGAGAAGGCACGC